UUGACCUCGGAUCAGGUAGGGAUACCCGCUGAACUUAAGCAUAUCAAUAAGCGGAGGAAAAGAAACCAACAGGGAUUGCCCCAGUAACGGCGAGUGAAGCGGCAAGAGCUCAAAUUUGAAAGCUGGCUCCUUCGGGGUCCGCAUUGUAAUUUGUAGAGGAUGCUUCGGGAGCGGUCCCCAUCUAAGUGCCCUGGAACGGGACGUCAUAGAGGGUGAGAAUCCCGUAUGGGAUGGGGUGUCCGCGCCCGUGUGAAGCUCCUUCGACGAGUCGAGUUGUUUGGGAAUGCAGCUCUAAAUGGGUGGUAAAUUUCAUCUAAAGCUAAAUAUUGGCCGGAGACCGAUAGCGCACAAGUAGAGUGAUCGAAAGAUGAAAAGCACUUUGAAAAGAGAGUUAAAAAGCACGUGAAAUUGUUGAAAGGGAAGCGCUUGCGACCAGACUCGCUCGCGGGGUUCAGCCGGCAUUCGUGCCGGUGUAUUUCCCCGCGGGCGGGCCAGCGUCGGUUUGGGCGGUCGGUCAAAGGCCCUCGGAAGGUAACGCCCCUAGGGGCGUCUUAUAGCCGAGGGUGCAAUGCGACCUGCCUAGACCGAGGAACGCGCUUCGGCUCG
rnacentral:rRNA from 1 species